rnacentral:rRNA from 1 species
AGAAUCAACGCUGGCGGCGUGCCUAACACAUGCAAGUCGAACGAGAAAGUGGAGCAAUCCAUGAGUAAAGUGGCGCACGGGUGAGUAACACGUGACUAACCUACCCUUGAGUGGGGGAUAACCUAGGGAAACCUGGGCUAAUACCGCAUAAUACCUUCGGGUCAAAGGAGCAAUUCGCUUAAGGAGGGGGUCGCGGCCGAUUAGUUAGUUGGCGGGGUAAUGGCCCACCAAGACUGUGAUCGGUAUCCGGCCUGAGAGGGCGCACGGACACACUGGAACUGAAACACGGUCCAGACUCCUACGGGAGGCAGCAGUGGGGAAUUUGCGCAAUGGGGGAAACCCUGACGCAGCAACGCCGCGUGGAGGAUGAAGUCCCUUGGGACGUAAACUCCUUUCGAUCGGGACGAUUAUGACGGUACCGGAAGAAGAACGCCCCGGCUAACUUCGCGCCAGCAGCCGC